CAAUCACUAUUGAUGGAACUCCAAACAAUGAUAUACUGCAACAGAGACUACUUGCUGUGGUAAAACAAAAAGAAGAGUUUCAUCAAAUGGAGGUUGAACUACGAGCUCAGCUCAUUGCAAGAUCAGAGAUGAUGGAAAUACGGAAUAGUUUUGAUGCUCAGAUAAAAGAACAUGUCACUGCCAAUGUUAAGCUGCAGGACCAAAUACAUGAAAGGGACCAGAGGAAUUAUGAGUUGGAGAGGAGGAUGGAAGAGAAAGAAAGGGAACUGAAUGCAAUUAGACUGGACCAUGAAGCGGCAUGGGCAAAAGAGGAUCUCCUUAGAGAACAGAGUAAAGAACUACAAACUUACAGGAGAGAGAGGGACAACUCUGAAGCAGAAAGAGCUCAGCAUAUUAAGCAAAUUCAUGAUCUCCAAGAGCAUAUUCAAGAAAAGGAGCGUCAGUUCGUUGAACUGCAGGAACAGCAUAGGAUAGCUCAGGAAACUAUCCUUUUCAAAGAUGAACAAAUAAGGGAGGCCCAAACUUGGAUGACUCGUGUUCAGGAAUUCGAUGCUGUGCAGCAAGGUGAAUUGCGGGAGCGCACAGAACAGUAUAACCAGCUUUGGCUUGCCUACCAAAGACAGUUUGGUGAGAUGGAGCGCUUGCAUAUGCACAUGCAACAGCUCCAACUUGAAUUGGCUGAGGCAAGAGGUGGAACUUACUCUGAGGGUUCACAAGUCUCUAAUCUGAAUUCUAAAGAUGCUAGUCAUCUUGGGCAGAGCAAUGGAAGCCAACUUAAUGCUAGCGGAAGCAGUACACCUGGUGAAAGUUCCAUAGGCCUACAGAAUGGAACUGUUGAAAAUGCUCCAUCUUUUGCUUCAACUGGGCAUGUGUCAACUCAGGCGGAUCAUGUACAUGGUAUGCCAGUUGCUCCUUCAUCCGUGCUUGGGAUGACAACCUACCUUCCGCCUGGACAAAUUGCUGCUCUGCAUCCAUAUGUAAUGCAUCAACAGGGAAUUCCUCCUCCUUUACCAUCACAUGUUCCUCAAUCUCAUGUUGCGCAUUUUCACUCAGUACCAGCAGUAUCAUCUCUUCAGCAUUGGCCAAACCAACAGGCUGUACCAGAGGGUUCACAUAUCUCUAAUCACAAUCAGUACACUUUGCAACCUCAGUCAACCUUGCCAAGAUCAGAUUCUCAGUAUGAUCAUGAAACAACUGUCAAUGGACAAUCUCUUCUCAAUGUGAACCAAGGAAUUGAAACUCAGGAUUCAGUCGUUCCAGUUUCAAGUGAAGAUGGACAGGAACUUCAGUCUGUGGAUAAGAAUUACCUCUCAGGUGUACAGACACAUCAGACUUUGCAUCAGAUUUCUUCGCAAUUCAAUGGUGCUUUAAGAUUGGAUUCACAUGAACAUAACAAUGAAACAGAGGUGAACAAUGUCAACUCUUCAGCUAACUACAUGCUAGAGCCUCAAGGGUUAAGAAUGGGAGAAUUUAGUUCGAAUGCUGAUAAAUCGUCAGCCGAAAUUUCAAAUAAUGUGCGUAAUUCAACUGAGUCUGUGGUGGACACUGUGUCAAGUGCUGUUUUGACAGAAACGUAUGUUGCUGGAGGACAGAAGAAUGCAUAUGCAGUCGGUAAAUCAGCAGAGGUUAAUCUCCUGGACGAAAAGGCAUUGCUGGCUUGCAUAGUCCGUACUGUUCCCCCUGGUUCUGGUGGUAGAAUAAGGAUUAGUUCUACGCUCCCAAAUAGACUUGGUAAAAUGCUUGCCCCCUUGCACUGGCAUGACUACAAAAAGAAGUACGGAAAACUUGAUGAAUUUGUGGCAAACCAUCCAGAAUUAUUUGUAAUUGACGGAGACUUCAUUCAACUCCGCGGAGGUGCUCAAGAAAUUAUAGCAGCCACAGCUGCAGCUGCUAAAGUGGCUGCUGCAGCUGCAGCUCCUUCGUCGUACUCCUCUCUUUUGCCUCCUAUUGCAGUCACCCCUAUGCCACAAAAUCACCGCUUGAAGAGGGUACCAUCAGUUGAACCAACAUCUGAGAAGGCAGUUUUCAAAGACUAUGCUGUCGUCAGACCUGCAAAUUCUAGUGACAACCUUCAAAGUCAGAUUUCUAAUGGGGCCUCUUUCAACAGUACUGGGGGCAUCUCAAAUGUAAAAAUAUUGACUAAGCCGAGAGACCAGAUGGAGCUAAAUGCAUCUGAAGCUAGGACUGCGUCAUCUGUGCAAUUGAACCUUGGAAAUGGAGCUAGUGCUGACAAAAAUGACAUGGGUAGUUCACAGAACAAGGUUUCAUCUCAUGGGCGACCUGGCACAAAUUUAGUGGGUAGACAGGGCAGGAAUGCAGGGAUUUCAUCAGGCUCUAGAAGAUAGUAAGUAUUAAUGACAAUUUUGGACAAUGGGGCAAACAUUGGAUGCUGACGAUUAUGGCUGGGCAUAUACUGGAUGCUGACGAGUAUGGCAGGGCAUAUAUUGGACGCCGAUAGGUGUGGUGGACAGAUUUUGGAUGCUGAUAGGUAGGUGUGGCAGGACAGUUAUUGGAUGUUGAUGGGUAUGGCUGAUCAUUUAAAUUUGAAAUUAUCCAGAGGGAUAAAUUUUAAUAUUCAAAUUGGAAAUGUACUGUAAUGUUCCCUUUUACAUGUUAAGUGGAAACAAUUGUUCAAUCUUAGUAUGCAUCCUCUGUUUUUGUUGGGAAUCUAGCUGUUAAAUGGUCACUGAUCAUAUUACUGGGGAUGUACACUUAAAUUGCUCAUAAU
rnacentral:misc_RNA from 1 species